CUGGCCCAGAAGAUCAGGCCUGCCCCAAUGAAGCCAGCUCAAAUUGCACAAAUGAGCCCAGUCCAGAUCAGCUGAGUCCGGCCCAGAAGAUCAGGCCUGCCCCAGUGAAGACAGCUCAAACUGCGAGCCCGGAAAUUGCUGCAACUCUCCUGUUACUCUGGGGGAAAGCUUAACAACUAAGAUUCAGAGCAAAGGAAGACGAUGCCGGCAGCAGGCUUUGGGUGCUUGUGGGGCAGCAGGUUGUACCAGGGGCAGGUGCAGACCCCUGCCUCCCUUGCCUUCACCACAGUCACAACAGGCCAGGCCAGCCCAUCCAUCAUGUCUCUAGGAUAUCUCAGGGGUUCAAGGCCACCACACCAUUUGCAGCACACUCCACUCGCUGAUCUGUGAUAUGGGAGAUGUGCUUAUUGGCGAAUAAAUCACCAUGUCAAGUUAACGGCCUGUGUCCAAGGCGAGUGACUUCGAGGUCAGCAUAGCAGCAUACCAUUGGAUGCAGCGGGUUCUGCUUCUGCGCACAGUGCCUCAUCAGAACAUAAAUUUUCAAAUACCAGAUGUGAUAAAAGACAACAUCGAGCUUUCUGUUUUUUGAAGGAGAGGAGAAGGAGAUCCUGGAUACAUUCUCUGAAAGGUGCCUCCACUUCAUCACUGAUCCCGACACGUGGGAGGAAGGAGAGGAGGACAGUGAAGACCAUCAGCAAGGGAGAGCAGGUUCCCUGCCCUGGAUCCCUGCCCUGGUCCCCUGCCCUGAUUCCCUGCCCCAUGUUGUAGGUCUUUGGGCUACAUUUCUACCCAUUGGCUGAACAUAAAAACUGUCCUAUGAACUAUUUGGCAGCAAGUUCACAGCAAAGAAUAUUAACUCUGUGAGGCACCUUAGACAAUGCCUGGCUUAACCCCCACUUGACAAAUAAAGACACAUGUUCUGACUCACCCACCAUCCCAGGAGCAACUGACCAGGCUGAGGAACUCUGUCCACUGCCUGCAGCCCACUUGGCCUUCCACUGUGACGUCCAGGCUGAGGAACUGUGUCUGCCACCUGCAGCCCACUUGGCCUUCCACUGUGAUGUCCUUUCCAGGACUCUGAGCAGAGAUGGGUUUAUAACAAGCAUAAAUUGUUAUUUUGUAUCGAUCUGCACAUCAAUUUAUAUAUUUUGAAAAUUAAAAGAAAUCCAAUGAUAAGAAUUUUUCUCACAAGUUAAUUAAGGAAACUAGGUCAAUGGAAAUUUCUUAGGUUAUGAAAAUAUUGAUGUGAAUAUGUUAUGUGAGAAUCAUUUCAAAAUGAGUUAAAGGGGCUGGGCACAGUGGUUCACACCUGUAAUCCCAGCACUUUGGGAGGCCAAGGUGGGUGGAUCAUGAGGUCAAGACAUUGAGACCAUCCUGGCCAACAUGGUGAAACCCUGUCUCUACUAAAAAUACAAAAAUUAGCCAGGCAUGGUGGCACAUGCCUGUAGUCCCAGCUACUCAGGAGGCUGAGGCGGGAGAAUAGCUUGAACCUGGGAGGUGGAGGUUGCUGUCACGCGACUGCACUCCAGCCUGGUGAGAGAGCAAGAGAGCAAGACUCCGUCUCAAAAAAAAAAAAAAAAAAAAAAACAAACCAGGAGUUACAGGAAUCUAGGAUAUUUUGCUUUCUGUCCCUAAACUUUGGGGCUUAAUUUGGCAGAAACUUGGGAGUGGGAGGGUGAAGUUUGUGGCGUCCUGCUUGCCUUGAAUUUGUGGUGGCCACAGAAUGCAGGCUUGACUUCAUGCAGGUUCUCAUACAUCAUUAUGGAGAACAUCUUUUUGUAUUUACUUCAAUAUUUAUUUUGUAGUGAAAAUAAAAGCAAUACCAGUUUUCUGAAGGGUUUCUUAAAUCAAUUCCUUUGUGUCCUAUAGGGCAAUACUUUGCUCCUAGAGAAGUCUGUGAACCAUUGGUGUCUUUGAUUUGUCUCAUUAGAACGCCCACCCUCAU
rnacentral:lncRNA from 1 species